AUAACGCGUGAGAAUCUAGCUUCAGAAUGGGGACAACAGAGGGAAACCGCUGCUAAUACCCGAUGUGCCGAAAGGUGAAAGAUUUAUCGUCUGAAGAUGAGCUCGCGUCCGAUUAGCUAGUUGGUAGAGUAAGAGCCUACCAAGGCGACGAUCGGUAGCUGGUCUGAGAGGAUGACCAGCCACACUGGGACUGAGACACGGCCCAGACUCCUACGGGAGGCAGCAGUGGGGAAUUUUCCGCAAUGGGCGAAAGCCUGACGGAGCAAGACCGCGUGAGGGAGGAAGGCUCUUGGGUUGUAAACCUCUUUUCUCUGGGAAGAAGAUCUGACGGUACCAGAGGAAUCAGCAUCGGCUAACUCCGUGCCAGCAGCCGCGGUAAUACGGAGGAUGCAAGCGUUAUCCGGAAUUAUUGGGCGUAAAGCGUCCGUAGGUGGCAAUUCAAGUCUGCCGUUAAAACCAGUGGCUUAACUACUGAGGGGCGGUGGAAACUGAAUAGCUAGAGUGUGGUAGGGGUAGAGGGAAUUCCCAGUGUAGCGGUGAAAUGCGUAGAGAUUGGGAAGAACACCGGUGGCGAAAGCGCUCUGCUGGACCACAACUGACACUCACAGGACGAAAGCUAGGGGAGCGAAAGGGAUUA
rnacentral:rRNA from 1 species